AAACAAAUAUACUGAUCAAACAAAUGACUCACUUCAUCCUUCAUCAUCCUUUACCAAACUUAGCCCUUUAACUGGAAACCCUUUGUAAAACUUAAAUCCUUCAUCAUCUUCAAACCCGUCGUCAAACUCGAAUCCCUCACCUUCAACGUUCAAACUCGAAGCCCUUUACUGCAAACCCAUAAAUCAAACUCUUCACUGCCUAAAAAUCGAAACCCUUCACUGCAAAUUCAAAACCCUAUUCUCGUCAAAUUGAAACAUGAUUCUCGUUGCCUUCACCGGUCAAAUUCAGAAACCCAGGAAUUUUCGCUCAAACUCUCUUCACUGCAAACUGUUUGCUAGUAAUCUCCAAACCCUGACUUUUGAAUUUCAAUUUAUGUUUCGAUUUCUUUCGAUUUCAAUUUUUGUUUCCAUCAAUUUCUCUUUUUGUUUAUUAUUAUUAUUAUUAUUAUUAUUAUUAUUAUUAUUAUUAUUAUUAUUAUUAUUAUUAUUAUUAUUAUUAUAAUUAUCAUAUGAGUAUUAACUCUUACUGAGAUGGUAUUUGUUUUUGUUUUUAUUCUUGUUGUAGUAAUUUGUUCUAUCUGACAGGGAAGUUUAUGAAUCUUUCUUGUGAAGGAGCUGUGUUUACCUGUAUAUACACAGAUUUUCACAAUUUUAUAUUCAAUAUAGCUUCUUGCCAUUAAAACAUAAGGUAUGUUCUCUCUUGUCCAAGUGGAUUUCAAUUAUUCGGGCCAUCAAUUUUUCAUUGAAUUUCUUACUAUUAGGUUGUUUAAAGGUUUCAUACUUACUCAUGUUGAGGGAAAAUUUUGAAAUGUCAUGCCUUGGUUCAAACGGGGGAAUAGUAAACGAAUGUGUUUGAUUUUUGGUGUAUAAUGUACAAUACAUAUUAAAAGUAGGUCAGAACAGGACUUAAAAAUUUUACCCAUCUAAUUCUAGCUUCCUUUUCUCUGUGCGCCAAAUAAAAUCAUGGUUACAUAGAACAAAUACAACAGAAUUAACAAAGUAGAAGUAUUUUAUUUAUUUUAACACCAAAUAAGAUUAUGAGUUAUGGUGGUAGAUGUGGAGGAGAGAGCACUCAGAAAUGUUUGUAUUAAACAUGUUUUACAAGUCGCCUAUUUGGAGUGAAACUAACAAGAUUUCAAUCAUUUUGGAUUUUAUCAAUCACAACUAUUAUCUUUUAAUUUUAUGCCUUUGAUGGUUAUGUUCAUCAACUACUUGCUUCUUUUCUAUGAUUGCUACCUUGUGUACAUUCUUACUGAAAUGGCUGGAAGUACAUCAGAUGACUGAAAUUGUGUUCACUCAGACAUGUGAUGCAACUCAGCUUCUUGCUUUGAUUCUUAGGUAUCUCGGUUUGAAAGCUAUCCCAAUUAAUGGUCAUAUGAUUCAGGUAAUUUUACUAGACAUCUUGCAUUAUAAUUGUAAUUUGUUCUAAAAUUUCCUUUUUUCCCCUUGUUAUUAUUGGAGGGCAUGCUGUGUUAGAUGGUGUGAUUCUUUAGCAGCUCCCCCCAUUAUUUGCGUUUGUAGGUCUGCUAAUGCCACCAUGAUAUCUCUCAUUUAUAUUUAUAUUUAUAUUAUAAUAUGUUUCUUCUGACAGCCAAAGUAUAUAAGUUCAAGUCUGGGGAUUGUAAUAUUCUUCAUUGUACUGACAUAGCUAGAAGGGGACUAGAUAUGGAGUCGUUUACUUUGUGUUUAACUUAUUGUUCAAUUGUUUACUAAUCUAUAAUUCUCUCAGUGUCAUGUUAUUUUGCAUUUGAAUUAUAUCUCUCAAUGCUACAUAUAUAAUAGACCCUUAGUAAGUUGAUUAAUAUGUUUGAUUUGUCUAACUCAUUCUCUUUUGAUGUUGUUGUGACCGAACAGAACUGCAUUUGUUGAGGUUGUGACCAAUGUUGCACUUUUGCUACAUGAGGGUGUGAAGGUCUGUGCUCAAAUCAGUUUGGUUUUGCAAGAGGUCAAGGUGAUGUGCUCCCAAAAUUUGCCAAAUCUGAACGAACCUUGGGGUAUGCUAAUAAACUUGUUAGCUUCUAAACUGUGAUGGUGAGGAUGCGGUUUUAUUGUAUUAUGUUGCUCUGAAUCUUUGAAAGGAAUUAAAAUGUACUAUAACUAAAAUCUCUCAUGAUUUUAGGCUAUAUAAAAUGCUGCUUAUAAAGUUGAUUGGUAUGUUGUCUAUAUAGUGUGCAAUAUGUCACAAUCUAUGGAAGUUGUUCAUUAGGUAAUUUUCCCCCGCUCCUAAGUAUUGUUGUCUCUAUGUAAACCUUUAUAACUAUUAUAUUUAAAUUAGUUCACUUUUAAUGAACUUUUUCUUAACAGUGUUGGAAGAGUGAACUUCACAUGUCUAUAUAACUGAUUUAUAUAGAAUUGGAAGAGUCUGCAUCAAUAUACUUUGUUGGAACUGAAGUUUCACAUUGACAAAAGUAUUUACUGACUAGACGUUCACAUUUGAUCAGAUUCAAUUUUAGAGCCAAAAGCAACAAGUAGUUAUGAAUGCGGCUAUUAUGUCAUCAUACACAUGUUGAUCAUGGACCCAAGUAAGUAAGAUAAUUUUUGUAUCAAGCUGUAUCAAUUGAUUAGUACUAUUGUUUAUCUAAUUGGUGCAAGAGAAAACAAGCUAUAGUACAUGACGAAAUUUGGACACAGAUCUAAGCUUAAGUUUUUUAUUCUUUUUGUCCAGGUACCGUUACAAUUUUAAUGAUAUGCAGUUGCCCCAACACAUUAAGAAGGGAUGUGAAUUUUACUUUAUUUUUUAAAAUUUUGUUCAAGAUUUAGUAAUUGUAAUUGUUUUUUAAGACUUAGAAUAAUUCAUUAUUGUGUGAGUUCUGUGCGUGUUAGAAUUGUAAUUAGUUUGUAGUUAGUUACUUUUUUCUUCAUGAGUGAUAUUACCCCUUAAAUUAGUUUGUAAAUUUGUUCUUAUGUAAUUUAAAUUAGGCAAAAUUAAUCUCAUGUGGAUAUUUGGUUGGCAAAUGCAGAGCUACUAUAUUUUUUAGUAAAGAAAAUGUUGUUUGCCACGAUUUAAUUGUGGCUAUUUUUUUUUAAAUUACAGUAAUACUUUUUAGG
rnacentral:lncRNA from 1 species